AGCGAACGCUGGCGGCAGGCUUAACACAUGCAAGUCGAGCGGGCGUAGCAAUACGUCAGCGGCAGACGGGUGAGUAACGCGUGGGAACAUACCUCUUGGUUCGGAACAACACAGGGAAACUUGUGCUAAUACCGGAUAAGCCCUUACGGGGAAAGAUUUAUCGCCGAGAGAUUGGCCCGCGUCUGAUUAGCUAGUUGGUGAGGUAACGGCCCACCAAGGCGACGAUCAGUAGCUGGUCUGAGAGGAUGAUCAGCCACAUUGGGACUGAGACACGGCCCAAACUCCUACGGGAGGCAGCAGUGGGGAAUAUUGGACAAUGGGCGCAAGCCUGAUCCAGCCAUGCCGCGUGAGUGAUGAAGGCCCUAGGGUUGUAAAGCUCUUUUGUGCGGGAAGAUAAUGACGGUACCGCAAGAAUAAGCCCCGGCUAACUUCGUGCCAGCCGCCGCAGUAAG
rnacentral:rRNA from 1 species